UGCUAUACAUGCAGUCGAGCGAGCUUGCCUAGAUGAAUUUGGUGCUUGCACCAAAUGAAACUAGAUACAAGCGAGCGGCGGACGGGUGAGUAACACGUGGGUAACCUGCCCAAGAGACUGGGAUAACACCUGGAAACAGAUGCUAAUACCGGAUAACAACACUAGACGCAUGUCUAGAGUUUAAAAGAUGGUUCUGCUAUCACUCUUGGAUGGACCUGCGGUGCAUUAGCUAGUUGGUAAGGUAACGGCUUACCAAGGCAAUGAUGCAUAGCCGAGUUGAGAGACUGAUCGGCCACAUUGGGACUGAGACACGGCCCAAACUCCUACGGGAGGCAGCAGUAGGGAAUCUUCCACAAUGGACGCAAGUCUGAUGGAGCAACGCCGCGUGAGUGAAGAAGGGUUUCGGCUCGUAAAGCUCUGUUGGUAGUGAAGAAAGAUAGAGGUAGUAACUGGCCUUUAUUUGACGGUAAUUACUUAGAAAGUCACGGCUAACUACGUGCCAGCAGCCGCGGUAAAAGUUUUCG
rnacentral:rRNA from 1 species